rnacentral:rRNA from 1 species
GAACGCUGGCGGCGUGCUUAACACAUGCAAGUCGAACGAUGAAGCUCAGCUUGCUGGGUGGAUUAGUGGCGAACGGGUGAGUAACACGUGAGUAACCUGCCCUUAACUCUGGGAUAAGCCUGGGAAACUAGGUCUAAUACCGGAUAGGAGCGCCUACCGCAUGGUGGGUGUUGGAAAAAUUUAUCGGUUUUGGAUGGACUCGCGGCCUAUCAGCUUGUUGGUGAGGUAAUGGCUCACCAAGGCGACGACGGGUAGCCGGCCUGAGAGGGUGACCGGCCACACUGGGACUGAGACACGGCCCAGACUCCUACGGGAGGCAGCAGUGGGGAAUAUUGCACAAUGGGCGAAAGCCUGAUGCAGCGACGCCGCGUGAGGGAUGACGGCCUUCGGGUUGUAAACCUCUUUCAGUAGGGAAGAAGCGAAAGUGACGGUACCUGCAGAAGAAGCACCGGCUAACUACGUG